AUGGUAGGGAGAAAGAGAGGUGAGGAAGCGGGGGGGGGGGGGGGGGAGUCCCAUUCUCCCAGUACCCUGGGGGCCCUGAGUGGAAUCAGUCUAUCCGGCUGGGGAGGUUGAAUGGAAGGGCCCAGGUCAAGGGUCAGUCUCUGGCAUGUAGCUAGAUCCCUAGGGAGGCUGAGGAGCCUGAGAAACAGGCUGGAAAAAAAAGUGGCUCCCUUCCCCCUUCCCCAGAGGCUUUUGGGACUGGAGAAUAGCUUCCUGUAUGGACAACUUUUCUGUCCCUUCUGCUGAGGAUGUCUUAACUCUUCUGGUGCUGGUAUCAGAGAAGCCCACUGUACUCACUGCUCUUUCACUCUGAGGUGGGGUAAGAGGACAUCAUUCAAACCCAGAGCUUUUUAGGGUUAGAGAGCCCCCACCCCAAAGGAACGAGGAGCCCAGGCUGAGAAGAAAUUACCUUUAAAGUCAGAAAGGAAACAUGGUUUGUGUUUCUGUCUGCAACUGGGGUUGUGACCUUGCAGAGUUCCUCAACUUGGCCCUUUGGAUGCAGCCUUGGGAAAGCAGGAGGGACACAAGGCAGAGAUGUUGGCGCUUAGAGGAGCAGAGGGAGAAUACCUGUUGCUUCUCCGUGCCCCAAGACCUCAGAUACUGAACUUCAGUGCUCCCCUCUCCAGCUGCCUCUACAAAAGGCAAGAAGCAGCUUGCUUCUUCCACCCCUCAAUAGGGGUAGAGAGCCAUGUCAUUUCUGUCAGUUGGACCUGGUCCAGAGGUUGGAUGCAGCAUGGUCUUUCUAAGACAGAGACAGCUUGGCAGCGUGACCUUGGGUAAGUUCUGUGGGUCUCCAUUUCCUCACCUGCAAAAUGAGGCUCUGCUAACACCUACUGCAAGGGCUGUUGGGAGUGCAAAUGAGAUAGUACCCUUGGAUGGUUGGUUAUACAGUGCCUAGUGUUUGGUGAGCUCCAUUAAUAGCGGCUAUUGUUGCCUUCACCUCCCCCCACCACCUCCGGCAGCUCCCUACCCUGCUCUCCCUCCUGCUACCUUCCCUGAGGAUAACAGAUAUGCCCAGGUCCUUACUCUGGCCUCACUGGGAUGAAAAUAUAUCUUCCUGAAGCUGGGGCUUCACGGCAUCUUAAAGGAGACGGAAGAGUGGGUUGCUGUGAGAGAAAGCCAUAGGCUGAGGGUGCUGGGAAUUCACCGGAGGAGGGCAGAAGAAGGUCAGAGGCCAAUGCUCCCUCUUCCUUUCAGCUGCUGGGGUCGGGUCUCUCAUCCCGCUAGGCAGGGAGAGUAGAAACUGAGAGCUCCUUAUCAAGUUAGCUUGGAGCCGAUGUCUCUGGCUGUCUCUACAUAUUAUCCGACCCAUCCAUCCGCUCUCCUGCACGCCCUCCCUGCCCCCAGCCCUGCCUGUGCUAACUAGUUAAUUGGAUCUUGGCUAACCUGGUUAUGGACCGAGUCAGCGGGCUCCUCAGCCUCAAGAAGCCGGAGUGGGGGAGGGGGCAGAGCCGUGCAUGUGAGUGUGUGAGCAUGUGUAUCUGUCUAGGAGCCUGUCUCUGAGCUCUUAUCUAAGCCUCUAGGGAUCCUAUAACCCGUGGGCCUUAAUCUGCAUGCUUCAGAGGAACCCAGAGCACCCAGCUUCACUGAAAGAGUGCAGGUCACGGAUCACAUGACCCUUCGCUCAAAGCCGACGGGACCCGCUAACAGCCCAUCUAGCCUGAAGGCAUAAAGAUGGAAAGUGUAGAUGAUUCUCAGUCUCCUCCUCUGUAAAAUGGGAUUAUAAAAUUUACCACCUCAGGGGAGUCAUUUGUGAAGAUCAAAAGGAACAGCGCGCACAGCUGUGCUUGGUGCUUAGUAGGCGCUCUGUGCGUGGUAACUGAUCACCUCCACCACCAUUAAUCAAACUGGGUUCCAGCCAGGUUCCUGGGAUCCUGGGGGCUGGGCAGAGGGGUCUGGGGUGGAGGUGGAAAUGCUUUCAUUCACAGCAGCUUGCAGGUGCUUCCUCUGAGGCAGGACUCCAAUCUCCUCAAUUGUUUCUUAUGCAAAUGUUAUGCUAAUGAUCUUGUCAUUGUACCCCAGUACCCAGCAAGAGGAGGGUGGGCUAUUUCCCCAGGUUUCACUCUGACCAACUAUGUCCCUUCCCUUUCCAAAGAGAAGCAGUGUUGAUCCACCUAAGAGGCAGUCCUCAGAGCACUGAGCUGUUAGAGCGAAAAACAAAGAAAGGCCUGGGCCUGGGUAGAAAGACAGCCUUAUCUAGGCAAGCAUCAUCAACAUCAAAACGGCCUUUGGAAACGUCAGAUUCUUCCCCGCCCUGUGCAGACUACUCUUCAAUUACGGAGGCCCAGCCCCUGGCCCUCAGGGUGCUGGAACUGGGGAAGGGGUGGGAAGGGGGAGAGGGGAGGAAGGAGGGAGGGAAGGAGGGUAACAGAGAGAGACAGAGACAGAGACAAGACACAGACAGACGGAGACAGAGAAAGGCAGAGACGGAGAGAGAGACAGAAA